AUUCACCAGUCACCACUAGUACUUCAUACUUUUCUCUUUGUUCUCCAUCUCUCUCUCAAACUCAAAAGACUUGAGGCAGAGUCUAAGAUUUCCAUGGGGGAGCGGGACAACAGAUCAAAGCAGAAAGCUAGGCAUAAAUUUUUACAAGGACACUUUGGAGCAAAAAGUCAUGUACAUGGACAAGUUCCUCCCAUCGAUGAUGAUGAAAGUGACUCAAUGAGUGCAAUGGUGGUCGGUUCAUCUUAGAAUUUAGGUGCUAUCCUACUUGAGCUUUUCUUCCAUACCUACCUCCCAUCUCUCCUUCUUUUCUUUUCAUUUUUUGACUUGUUGCCUUUUGUGUGUGUUUUCCGGUCAUUUUUCUUGACCUUGUAAGACCUUUUCUUGACCUUGUAAGACCCCGACUCUCGUCUUCUGUCCUUGCUUCUCAUCGUGUUUCACAAAAUAUACCGCGGAUUCGCCGUAUAUUUUCGUUCUUUGUGCUUCUUCGUUUCGUCUCAACUCGUCUUCUCCUUCCUUGUCUAUCCCUCCUGAGCUGUUAGAUUAUCUUACUUAGUAGGAUACAAUACAUGUAGCAUCUGAAGCCUGAAAAAUCAAUGGCUUGUCAUGUAACAAUCUUAUUUAUGUAAGAUACAAUUUUGAUCCAGAAAUAUAUCAAAUUUCAUUA